rnacentral:rRNA from 1 species
AACUCAAGCUAAUAGACCUCGGCGUAAAGAGUGUUUAAAUUUAUAAUUCUAAUAAAGCGGACUCGUAACUAAGUUGUAAAAAACCCCAGUUAUGGUAAAAUACUCUACGAAAGUGGCUUUAGCACCCUGAACACACUAUAGCUAAGAUACAAACUGGGAUUAGAUACCCCACUAUGCUUAGCCCUAAACCCCAAUAGUUCUACCAACAAAACUAUUCGCCGGAACACUACAAGCAACAGCUUGAAAUUCAAAGGACCUGGCGGUGCUUUAUAUCCUUCUAGAGGAGCCUGUUCUAUAAUCGAUAAACCCCGAUAAACCUUACCACCUCUUGCCCU